GACGAACGCUGGCGGCGUGCUUAACACAUGCAAGUCGAACGGAAAGGCCCUGCUUGCCGGGUACUCGAGUGGCGAACGGGUGAGUAACACGUGGGUGAUCUGCCCUGCACUUCGGGAUAAGCUUGGGAAACUGGGUCUAAUACCGGAUAGGAGCCAUCUUUAGUGUGGUGGUUGGAAAGUUUUUUCGGUGUAGGAUGAGCUCGCGGCCUAUCAGCUUGUUGGUGGGGUAAUGGCCUACCAAGGCGGCGACGGGUAGCCGGCCUGAGAGGGUGUACGGCCACAUUGGGACUGAGAUACGGCCCAGACUCCUACGGGAGGCAGCAGUGGGGAAUAUUGUACAAUGGGCGCAAGCCUGAUGCAGCGACGCCGCGUGGGGGAUGAAGGCCUUCGGGUUGUAAACUCCUUUCGCUAGGGACGAAGCUUUUUGUGACGGUACCUAGAUAAGAAGCACCGGCUAACUACGUG
rnacentral:rRNA from 1 species